GGAGAGGUGUCCGAGUGGUUUAAGGAGGCGGUCUUGAAAACCGUUGAGCCGAAAGGCUCCGUGGGUUCGAAUCCCACCUUCUCCG
rnacentral:tRNA from 1 species